rnacentral:rRNA from 1 species
CACUAGCGUAUAUUAAAGUUGUUGCAGUUAAAAAGCUCGUAGUUGAAUUUUUGCUUGCCGCCGAUGUCGGAACUUCCGUACGUUCGGCGGCGUGCAUCCUUGGGUGGAACCUGUGUGGCAUUAGGUUGUCGUGCAGGGGAUGCUCAUCGUUUACUGUGAAAAAAUUAGGGUGUUCAAAGCAGGCUUAUGCCGUUGAAUAUAUUAGCAUGGAAUAAUAAGAUAGGACCUUGGUACUAUUUUGUUGGUUUGCGCACCGAGGUAAUGAUUAACAGGGACAGUUGGGGGUAUUCGUAUUCCAUUGUCAGAGGUGAAAUUCUUGGAUUUCUGGAAGACGAACUACUGCGAAAGCAUUUACCAAGGAUGUUUUCAUUAA